AUUGAACGCUGGCGGCAGGCCUAACACAUGCAAGUCGAGCGGAUGAGAGGAGCUUGCUCCUUGAUUUAGCGGCGGACGGGUGAGUAAUGCCUAGGAAUCUGCCUGGUAGUGGGGGAUAACGUUCCGAAAGGAACGCUAAUACCGCGUACGUCCUACGGGAGAAAGCAGGGGACCUUCGGGCCUUGCGCUAUCAGAUGAGCCUAGGUCGGAUUAGCUAGUUGGUGAGGUAAUGGCUCACCAAGGCGACGAUCCGUAACUGGUCUGAGAGGAUGAUCAGUCACACUGGAACUGAGACACGGUCCAGACUCCUACGGGAGGCAGCAGUGGGGAAUAUUGGACAAUGGGCGAAAGCCUGAUCCAGCCAUGCCGCGUGUGUGAAGAAGGUCUUCGGAUUGUAAAGCACUUUAAGUUGGGAGGAAGGGCAGUAAGUUAAUACCUUGCUGUUUUGACGUUACCGACAGAAUAAGCACCGGCUAACUUCGUGCCAGCCGCCGCCGUAAAAC
rnacentral:rRNA from 1 species